UACAGAGGGGGCAAGCGUUGUUCGGAAUUACUGGGCGUAAAGGGCGCGUAGGCGGCGACCCAAGUCAGAUGUGAAAGUCCUGGGCUUAACCUGGGGACUGCAUUUGAUACUGGGUUGCUUGAAUUCGGGAGAGGAUAGCGGAAUUCCCAGUGUAGAGGUGAAAUUCGUAGAUAUUGGGAAGAACACCGGUGGCGAAGGCGGCUAUCUGGACCGACAUUGACGCUGAGGCGCGAAAAGCGUGGGGAGCAAACAGG
rnacentral:rRNA from 1 species